GUGUCAGCCGCCGCGGUAAUACGAGGGGGGCAAGCGUUGUUCGGAAUUAUUGGGCGUAAAGGGUGCGUAGGCGGUUUGAUAAGUCACAUGUGAAAUCUUCGGGCUCAACCCGAAGUCUGCAUGCGAAACUGUCGGGCUUGAGUAUGGGAGAGGUGAGUGGAAUUUCCGGUGUAGCGGUGAAAUGCGUAGAUAUCGGAAGGAACACCUGUGGCGAAAGCGGCUCACUGGACCAUAACUGACGCUGAUGCACGAAAGCUAGGGGAGCAAACAGGAUUAGAUACCCCGGUAGUCC
rnacentral:rRNA from 1 species